CACGUAGGGCGCAAGCGUUGUCCGGAAUUAUUGGGCGUAAAGAGCGUGUAGGCGGCCAAGCAGGUCCGCUGUGAAAACUCGAGGCUCAACCUCGAGACGUCGGUGGAAACCGUUUGGCUAGAGUCCGGAAGAGGAGAGUGGAAUUCCCGGUGUAGCGGUGAAAUGCGCAGAUAUCAGGAGGAACACCGGUGGCGAAGGCGGGUCUCUGGGCCGAUACUGACGCUGAGGAGCGAAAGCGUGGGGAGCGAACAGG
rnacentral:rRNA from 1 species